UACGUAGGUGGCAAGCGUUGUCCGGAAUUAUUGGGCGUAAAGCGCGCGCAGGUGGUUUCUUAAGUCUGAUGUGAAAGCCCACGGCUCAACCGUGGAGGGUCAUUGGAAACUGGGGAGCUUGAGUGCAGAAGAGGAAAGUGGAAUUCCAAGUGUAGCGGUGAAAUGCGUAGAGAUUUGGAGGAACACCAGUGGCGAAGGCGACUUUCUGGUCUGUAACUGACACUGAGGCGCGAAAGCGUGGGGAGCGAACAGG
rnacentral:rRNA from 1 species